rnacentral:rRNA from 1 species
UACGAAGGGGGCUAGCGUUGUUCGGAAUUACUGGGCGUAAAGGGCGCGUAGGCGGCGUGUCAAGUCAGGCGUGAAAGUCCCGGGCUCAACCUGGGAACCGCGCUUGAGACUGGCAUGCUCGAGUUCGGGAGAGGAUGGUGGAAUUCCCAGUGUAGAGGUGAAAUUCGUAGAUAUUGGGAAGAACACCGAUGGCGAAGGCAGCCAUCUGGACCGACACUGACGCUGAGGCGCGAAAGCGUGGGGAGCAAACAGG